AAAAAAACACAAAUAGAAAAAAGUUUUGUGAAAAUCAAAAGUAAAAUUUAAUUUCAGCAAAAAAACUAACUUAAACUAAUAAAAUGGACAAUUUUCAAGAAGAAAGGGAGGGGGUUUGUUCGUAGACUACUACAUUAACAUGUGAUGGUGAAGCGAUCUUGAAGCUCGCCUCAGUUCUAUAUAUACCUCAAUCAAUUUAAAACGAGCUUAAUUCGACUCGAUUCCGGUCAGGGAUUGGAGUCGAGUCAAAAUUUCUGAACAACAACCUGUGUGGAGGAGUUGGUUUUACAGAUAAUGCAUUAUAGCCUAUUUAUUUGCUUUUUUGUGUACAAAAAAUAUUGUUUUGUUUUAAUCAAAUUACAAAUAUGGGCCAUUUGGUAUUUAAGAAA